rnacentral:tRNA from 1 species
CCUCGUGUAGCUCAGUUGGUAAAGCGUGGCGUUUGAUACGUCAGGGUUGUGGGUUCGAUUUCCAUGAGGGGGA